UGUUUCGGACUUUCACAGUUGGAAAUACUGGAAGAGUCUUUGUCAGAAACCUCUAAGGAGGUCCUUCCAGGUCUGAAGGAGAGAACCUGGCGUGACUCAGCCGGAGCAGUGAGUCACUGGGCUCUCACUGCGAAACUCCACCUGUGGGUUGCAGAUUUGGUUACACCAGUCCACACAGCUGAUAAGGUUUCCUUAGUAACUGGGAGGAUGUGAUCGGUGGUGUUCUGACGAGAAAUCUGCUUGCCCUGGAUGGAUCAGUUUCUUCUCCCUGGGUACUGGUGAAGAGCGACCAGGCCCCACAGCUUCCCGGGCUGUCUGCCUCCCACAGAGACCCCUCGCUAGUUCUGCACUGCUUCGGUCGAUCCGAUGUUCCAGUUCUCACCUCUUGCACCCGGAGUAUUGUGCAGCCUUUUCAUCAGAGCCUAAUGUGGGUGAUGAUCAUAGCACAAAAACUGCAUGUUGUCCUGCUUUUCUCUAUUGCUUUUGCAGGUAACAAAACACAAGAAAAAAAAAAGGCAGACUCUCUAUGCCAUCUAUGCCCUAAAGAAACUAGCUCCCAGGGCUGGAUCAGACUAAUGCAGAUACCUUUCCAUUCUAACAAAGGUUGUCCUACUGCGAGAUCAGUCCUCAGCUGAGGGAAGUUUAAUGUGAAUACUUCCGUUAAGUGGCUGUUGAUGUUUUGAUCCUCAAAAGAAUCAGGCAACUUAGGCUGUUGAUUGCUGCAGAGUCCCUUGUUUGACUACCGUCUUCAAUAAAAAAGCAUGAACUUUU